AGCGAACGCUGGCGGCAGGCCUAACACGUGCAAGUCGAACGAACUCUUCGGAGUUAGUGGCGGACGGGUGGGUAACACGUGGGAACGUGCCUUUAGGUUCGGAAUAACUAAGGGAAACUUGUGCUAAUACCGAAUGUGCCCUUCGGGGGAAAGAUUUAUCGCCUUUAGAGCGGCCCGCGUCUGAUUAGCUAGUUGGUGAGGUAAAAGCUCACCAAGGCGACGAUCAGUAGCUGGUCUGAGAGGAUGACCAGCCACAUUGGGACUGAGACACGGCCCAAACUCCUACGGGAGGCAGCAGUGGGGAAUCUUGCGCAAUGGGCGAAAGCCUGACGCAGCCAUGCCGCGUGGAUGAUGAAGGUCUUAGGAUUGUAAAAUCCUUUCACCGGUGAAGAUAAUGACUGUAGCCGGAGAAGAAGCCCCGGCUAACUUCGUGCCAGCAGCCGCCGUAACAC
rnacentral:rRNA from 1 species